UGAGGUCGGGGCUACGAGGAAUCGGAAGACGUGGAGACGAGCGUUGCGGGGCCUCCGUCGUGGACCAGCUCGUUCCCCGCAGGCUUGGAAGGAGGGCGAGGGAGAGGGGCACCGCUGCAGAGCAGCUCGACAGAGCUAAGGCGCGAAGACAUCACCGGAGGAGAAAAAGAAGUGAAGUCAGGUACAGAGGAUCCAUGAGGGUAUUUUGAAGGCCUAGAAGAUGGUAGAAGUAACCUGGGUAGAAGUAACAUGGGGCUUCUGAAUGAUGAUGGAAGAGAAACACCUCCCCCACCAAAUACAACAAUCUAUACUAGACUAUGAGAAAAAACCAAGAUGGCGGCAUAGGUAAACACCGGAAAUUGCUGCCUCCCAC